ensembl:lincRNA
AUGCAGAAAAGAAAAAACAUAAGGAUAAACAUAUUGAGAUUUGCUCUUGCUCCAGCACAAUUCCCUGAAAGGCUUCUUCUAAGCCUGGUAUCCUGGGAGUGGCAGUGUUUUCAGCGUGGCAGACGGAGCAGUCAGGAAGCUGGGAGCCCAAACAGCGUGAGACAAAGCCACACAACAGAGGCCGCGCAUCAGUCGAAUAGCACUCCUAUUUACUUAUCUUUGGAGCCUCCCAGGAGGAAUAAAACAACAGAACUGGAGACCUGUUCGUGUGCUUUGGCCUUCCUGCCCAGGAUGGGAGGGUAAAGGUCUGGGUCAAGGAAAGUGCUCCCGGUGCCUGUGGUCCAUAGAGUGGAGUGAGUCUCUAAGCAAAUCUGGAGGGACUCUGGAAGCUGAAGAUUCAGAAUAUCUCCACUUAUUCUUGCCACAGCCUUUGCUGCUCAACUGUUGGGUGCCAUGAUG